UGGGCACUUGGGGCUGUGAGCUCCGGCAGCCAUCGGCUCGCGCUCCUGCUCUCUCCUCCUCCAGCCGCUGGCUCCUGCUCUUGUUGGUCUCUGCGUCGCGUGUCCCCUGUCAGCAGGGAACCCUUGCCUCUGGCUACCACUAGAGUCAGUUUACCACCUUGCUGUUCUCUGCUUUCCAGAAGCGUGAGCGUCAGAAAUGUCCUUUGGAAUGUGCCAGACAGUCAAACCUCUGGCGAAUUCUGUUCCCAUGUGCUUGCUGGAUGAUACGGAAAUGGACUGCAACUUCACCUGGCCACAGGUGUCCCUGUGCCCCCUGGCAUCUCCAGGAGCUGCCCCGGCCUCUGUCCCUUCCUGCACGCACCCCUCUACUGCAGCACGGAGCCCUUGCUGUCCCCUCCACCCGGAAGGCGAAUUCUCUUUCUCCAGCUCACUGCUUGGCUGUUCAGGUCUCAUCUUAAAAUAUCACCUUCUCCGAGCUGCCUUCCCUGAACACCUGAGCCAUCGACUGUCCCUGUGAUCAUUCUUGGUGGCAGCACCUUGUUAAUUUUUGGUGGCCUAGUGGUUACAUUCGGGGCACUCCUCUUUAGCGCCCAGGUUCAGUUCCCGGAUGUGGACCUACACCGCUUUGUUAGCGGCCCUGCUGUGCUGGUGGCCCACAUACUAAGGAAAAAG
rnacentral:lncRNA from 1 species